UCAGUCCAUAUCUAGGCCAGCGCAAGAAAAGGAUUUCCUCUUCUCUUAGUGGGCCUUUUCUCUUAGGGCCAAUGAAGUUAUUGCUGGGAUAUGCCGGUUUGAAGGUAUUCAGAAACUGAUGGAGGUACUUUUCCCAUGCUUUACCAUCAAAUAGUUUGGUUACCUGUGAUCAGGUGAUACCAGCGUGUGAACAAGCACAUUCAGUACAAAGGCAGUACUAUUAUUCUUCUAGGAACUGUAUUUAUUUCCUGCAGGUACUUCACUUGAUGGGUUUUGAAAGGAACAUUUGUUAAAUGAUUUGAGUAAACAAGGUGCAAAUAUUCAAGAGUUAGAUGAGAUCUUCUCAGAAAAGAGAGUGAGUUCAGUUUCUUCCCAGUGCUGAUGCCUCUUUGCCCUUCAAUGCUUUUUGUCUUCCUGCUAAUCCUUUGAUUCAAGAAUGUAUUCCCAUCACUAUGCAGGGCCUGAGAGAUGUGUUUUCUGGCCUUUCUUGUUCCUUGGGAAGAAUAUGACACACUGCAGUGUUGUCUUCCUGAUCCUGCAGCUGGCCUGAAAAACCGGUAGCAGAAAAGAGUGCACAUGCUUAACUUUGAAUUUUACUGAUAACAACCAGGUGAUGUUACUUCUGGCAAGCUACAAAUAUUUGCCUUUCCUAUUGUGAGAACCAUUCCUUAUGGAAACUGGCUAAGAUGUGAAACUUCUUGCCUUGAGCUGGAAUUGUAUUUAACCAGAAGUAUUUUAAACCAUUUUUCUCCUCCGCUUCUAACUCAUGACCCAACUCAUGAUUACUAAAUAAAAAUGCAUGAGAAUUAC